rnacentral:misc_RNA from 5 species
GAGGAAAGUCCGGGCUCCAUAGAGCAGGGUGCCAGGUAACGCCUGGGGGGCGCAAGCCCACGACAAGUGCAGCAGAGAGAAGACCGCCGAUGACCCGUAAGGGCACAGGUAAGGGUGAAAGGGUGCGGUAAGAGCGCACCGUGCGGCUGGCAACAGUCCGUAGCAGGGUAAACUCCACCCGGAGCAAGACCAAAUAGGCUUCCACAUUGCGUUGCUCGCGUAAGGAGGCGGGUAGG